CGCCCCGCCAAACUUUCGACGGGACCUGUGCGCCCCGACGGCCGGGGCCGGGCAGGGAGCGGGGCGGCCGCGCGUUCCGCCGGGGACGCGCCGGGGCUGCGGCCACUCCCGCGUCGGGUGUGCCCGUGGGGGGGGCGGGAGGGCAGGUGAAGGGACCGUGGGGUGAGGGCGGUCCCCUCCUUCCCUUUUGGUUUCUUUGGGACGGAUGCGGUCGGCCCCAUCUUUGCGCUUUACGCAACAGAGAUUUACUCAACUUUCUUCGAGCUCUCCCGCCGCUUAAAAGCAAAGAGCCCCGCCGUAGGCUUCUGAGGAAAUCUGGUUUCACAGUUCAGAGAAAGGAGAAGGUCAUAAUUUGAUUGUUGGGAAAAUGCGAUGGUUGCCAGAACACCAGUCUGUGAUGGGUGCCAUAUUGCAUCACUGUUAGAAUGGUGGAAUACAGCUUGGGAUUCUUCAGGGCUGCUUAACAUGGUUCAAACUGGCCCAUACAGCUGCUUUACAUCUUAACUGCUUGGAUUCAUACUAAUGUUAAUGGUCUCCUGGAGGAAGUGGAAAACCCCCAUGCUGAAACUUGUGGAUAUUGUGGAACAUGCUGCUGAGACCCAUUUGGAUUAUAUUGCCAUCUGACACCAAAGUUUUGCAGCUGAUGAAAGGAGUUCACCAGAUCUCUUUGUUAUGUGGUUGCUGAAGCAUUAUCCUGGGACAGCAGUAAUGAUGGAUAGAUGAACAGAACUCACUUCAGUGGACACUGUUUAUAAGGAGCUCUGUGUUAUCUACUCUGAGUACAAGGAUGCAUUCUUCUGUUUGUUCAUGGAAUCACAGAAUCACAGA